rnacentral:rRNA from 1 species
UACAGAGGUCCCAAGCGUUGUUCGGAUUCACUGGGCGUAAAGGGUGCGUAGGCGGUCGGGUAAGUCUGAUGUGAAAUCUCACAGCUUAACUGUGAAACUGCAUUGGAUACUAUUCGGCUUGAGAGUUGGAGGGGGGACUGGAAUUCUUGGUGUAGCGGUGAAAUGCGCAGAUAUCAGGAGGAACACCGAUGGCGAAGGCAGGUCUCUGGGCCGAUACUGACGCUGAGGAGCGAAAGCGUGGGGAGCGAACAGG